CCUCGUUUCCCUCCCCCUGCUCUCUCCCUCUCUCUGUGUGUUUUUCGCAGCUACAGGAGUGCCACGGGGCAUGGCCAUCCCCGCCUCUACCGCUGCUGCAGGCUGGCUCCGUCCCGUGCAGGUCCAGCCAAGCCACCGUGGCCGAUGAACUCCUCAAGUCCGGUGCAGCCAAGCUUGUCAUCGACUCAUCCUCCGUCAACCCUGAUUCGGCCUGGUUCUGUAGCCUUCCCAUGGUGUCGCACCCGUCCGUCGCCUCCCUCAACAGAGCCGUCGCCUCCCUCAACAGAGCCGGCCAUUGGACCCGUCGCCGGCGGCCAGGCCGUGUCCUCGGCAGAGCCCCGCGUCACCGGUAGAAACCAGGACCAUGGACAGGAGCCUGUCAGCGCCAUGGAGCUCCAUCACCAGUCGGGUUUGGAGCCCCGAGGAUCGGAUCCGUCCAUCCCCAGCUGCCCUCGCCAUUUUCUCAACCCUUCUCCGUCAUUCCCUGCAGUCGUCUCACCAUGGAAGCCGGUCUAGUUGUUUCCCUGAUGUGAGCAAAAUCCCCUCGUAACUGAAGUUGUUUUAUUUUAGAUCUGUUCUGGCUGUCAUAGUGUCUAAGUAUGGAGCUGCUUGUUGGCACAAAAGCAUUGCUAGGCGAGCUGACCAUACCAGCGUGCUAUAAUUUGAGGGGUCUGGGGUUUGAAUCCGAGGCACCCAUAUUUGUCUUGUUGUUGUGCAUAAGAUUUAGCUUAGGUUUCACAUAUGUUCGUCUCGAAUUUUUUUCACAAGCACAUGUCCAGCCAAGCUGGCUAGCGCACGCACCCUAUAUCCAUGGGGCAUGAGGUUGGAAUUCCAUGAGCCCAUGCAUAAUAUCUUGUGUUGCUCGUAUCUUUUAGUCCGUAACUUCGUUGGAGAUGAGCUAUAUAUGUAAACCGACUAGAAUUCCGUGAAAAAUCACAUGCUUCGCCUCUUG